rnacentral:rRNA from 1 species
AUUGAACGCUGGCGGCAUGCCUUACACAUGCAAGUCGAGCGGUAACGGGCCUUCGGGUGCCGACGAGUGGCGAACGGGUGCGUAAUACAUCGGAACGUGCCCGAUCGUGGGGGAUAACGAGGCGAAAGCUUUGCUAAUACCGCAUACGAUCUACGGAUGAAAGCAGGGGACCGCAAGGCCUUGCGCGGGCGGAGCGGCCGAUGGCAGAUUAGGUAGUUGGUGGGAUAAAAGCUUACCAAGCCGACGAUCUGUAGCUGGUCUGAGAGGAUGAUCAGCCACACUGGGACUGAGACACGGCCCAGACUCCUACGGGAGGCAGCAGUGGGGAAUUUUGGACAAUGGGCGCAAGCCUGAUCCAGCCAUGCCGCGUGCAGGAUGAAGGCCUUCGGGUUGUAAACUGCUUUUGUACGGAACGAAAAGCCUUCUUUGAAUACAGGAGGGUCAUGACGGUACCGUAAGAAUAAGCACCGGCUAACUACGUG